GACGAACGCUGGCGGCGUGCUUAACACAUGCAAGUCGAACGAUGAAGAAAAGAAUCGAAGCUUCGGCAGAAAUUCAUUUCGGAUUAGUGGCAGACGGGUGAGUAACGCGUGAGCAACCUACCUCUUACAAAGGGAUAGCCUCGGGAAACCGGGAUUAAUACCAUAUAACAUUGCGACGAAGCAUUUCGAUGCAAUCAAAGCUACGGCGGUAAGAGAUGGGCUCGCGUCCCAUUAACCGGAUGGUGAGGUAACGGCUCACCAUAGUGACGAUGGGUAACCGGCCUGAGAGGGUGAACGGUCACACUGGAACUGAGACACGGUCCAGACUCCUACGGGAGGCAGCAGUGGGGAAUAUUGCACAAUGGAGGGAACUCUGAUGCAGCGACGCCGCGUGAGUGAUGAAGGAAUUCGUUUCGUAAAACUCUGUUCUAUGGGAAGAAAAGGACUGUACCAUAGGAGAAAGCUCCGGCUAAAUACGU
rnacentral:rRNA from 1 species